GGACUCGUAGCUCAGCGGUAGAGCGCUUCGUUGACAUCGAAGAGGCCAGAGGUUCGACACCUCUCGGGUCCACAA
rnacentral:tRNA from 9 species